GUGAUUAUACGCCUUUGAUCCCAGCACUCCGGAGGCAGAGACACUUGGAUCUCUUGUGAGUUUAAGGCCAGUCUGAUCUACAGACUGAGUUCCAGGACAGCCAGAGUUAUAUGGUAAGACCCUCUCUUGAAAAAAAAAAAAAAAAACUACAUCCUUAAAGUUCUGUCUGACGUAUGUACACACUUGUCAAAGUGUGUGUGUGUGUCUGAGCUCAGAGAACACGUUCCAGGAGCUGGUUCUCUCUCCUACCACAUGAGUCAUCGGAAUCACUCUGGUCCUCAGUUUGGCAGCAGGAGCUUUGAACUUACGGAGCAGGCUUGCCAACCAAGCAUUAGUUUCUAAUGGAGUGUUUGAUACGGCACAGAAACCGUUUUUAGUUGGUUGGAGCAAUUUCAUUCCAAGGUAUGGACCAGAUCCUGCAAGACUGAGGGUCUUUAUCGUGUUUUGCCAAAACCCCCAAGUAUGCUUUGUUGUUCUCCCUGAAGGGUAUCCUGUCCCCAGCCUGGAGCUGCUGCGCCAGCGGGAGCAAGUGCAGGAGCCAUGGACAGUGAGUGGUCAAGUCCCCCUGCGGAAGCACCUGCGUAGGUGGCAGCAGAAAAACCAAGGCCAUAGGCACUGCAUGCACGUGUAAGCCAAAACUGUCUGAGGGAACCUCAUUCUGGGGAGAAUUAACACCAAAGACCCCAGGAAGCUUGCAGUGGGUGUAAAGUCCAUGACAGUCAGUCGGAAGUUCAGAAAAGACUCUUCAACCAAGAGCCAGAGGCCCUGGGGGGAAGAUCCCUGGGAAAACGCGUCCCAUACAGGGUGCUAUAAAGGUAGCUGAAGAAGAGGAAACUAUCUUCAGAUACAGUGAAUGUGGGAAGGCAUUUAGUAAGAAACAUCUCCUGGCUGGGCAUGAAAAGAUCCACUCUGGUGUGAAGUCCUACGAGUGUACAGAAUGUGGACAAGUGCUCUUCCUAAAGAGUACUCCUCUCCUCUAGCACCAGAUGAUCCACACAGGCGAGAGGCCGUACACGUGCCUGGAAUGUGGGAAGGCCUCCCACCACAAGUCAGACCUCACCCGGCACCAGCAGAUCCACAGUGGGGACAGUGAGAUCCACCAGUGCAACAAAUGUGGGAAAUCCUUUACCAACGCUCCAAUUUUGUUCUGCAUAGCAGGAGACAUAUUGCAGAGAAAUCUUUUGUGUGUACUGAAUGUGGACAAGUCUUUUGACAUUGGGGAGGUUUCGUUAGACACUUUGUCAUCCAUGGUAGAGAGAACCCAUACGAGUGCUUUGAGUGUGGACAGAUCUUCAAACACCUCCUGUGGCACCAGCAGACACACAUAGGAAAGAAGCCCUAUGAGUUCAAUGAGUGUGGGAAAGUCUUCCUUGAGAGUGCUGCCCUGAUCCACCACUAUGUGAUCCACACUGGGGAGAAGCCCUUUGAGUGCCUCCAGUGUGGCAAAGCCUUCACCCACUGCUCUUCGUUUAUCUUGCGUAAAAAAAGUCCACACCAGAGAGAAACCCUUUGAGUGCAAAGAGUGUGGGAAAGCCUUCACCAGUCAGAAAGAUCUCAUCCAGCACUUCAGCAUCCACACUGGAGAGAAGCCCUAUGAGUGUGUGGCAUGUGGGAAGGCCUUUCUGUGCCUGUCAGGUCUUACGAGGCACCAGCGAGUUCAUAGUGGGGAACGUAUUUGAAGUAUUGAGUGUGGGAAGACCAUGCCAUCAUCCACACUGGGGAGAAGCCGUGUAAGUGCACUGAACGUGGGAAGGUCAUCAGUCUCAGCUCAUCCCUCAAUCAGCAUCAAAAGCUGCAGUGACAGAAGCCCUACCAGUGUGGCAGAGAAGGGAAGACCAUUCACAGCCACAUAGCUCUCAGUUAUCCUCUGUGAACUCCUUCUUGGGAAAGGGAAAUCUUUUCUCACAAGAAACGUCUUCUUCAGGAUCUGAUCCUCUACACCAAAGGGAAGCGGCACCAGUGUCUUGACUAUAAAACAAACAAACAAGCUAGCAAAACCCUUCCUAUGACAGCAUACCCUGUCAUCUGAAGAGCAACAGCAGCAGCAGACCCAGCCUUAUUUCCCCUCUGAAAAUUCAACCAGGAAGAACUCCAGGGUUUGGGGUGGGUUGUGGUAGGGGUGGGAUCUUGUUUUAAGUUCACACAGGAAAACUUCAGUCACAUCUCCCUACAAAUUUACAUCGUCGUGUUAUCUCAGGGAUUGUUUUACAAAGCAGAUGCAGACAAAAAUAAAAUCACAGAUCUCUUCAGACCUCCCAGACAAACCUAUGGCACUGUGAUAUCGACUCCUCAGCUUAUUGGAGUGAGGUGAGUGUUUUAGUGGUCAAAGCCUUUGGCCCUUUCUUGUGCCUUGUGUAUUCACAUGGUGUUGGGGAGUGAGCUGAGACCAAGCCUGUAAACAUGUAUUGCAUAUCUUUGUGUCCUAAGAUACUAAUCUUGAGACCAGUAACCUUUGUGAUGAACGAGGGACACUUGAGCCGUGAAAUACUUCAUAUGUAAGGCAAUAAGGAUCCACAUUUUUCCUAAGUAUCUGUAUUCUUGCAAAUUCCAACAGCCUUUUUGUUUUCCUUUACCAAGAUAUACCUUUCUCUCUGUCUCUCUCUCUCUCUCUGUCUCUCUCUCUGUGUAUGUGUAUAAACUCUCUUAACUGCUGAGCCAUUUCUCUACCUCUUUCAUCAUAUAAAUAUACACCUUUCUUUACAAUAUACAGCUGAAAAUUUUGCUUGUCUUUGUAGGGUGAAAAUAAUAAAGCUUGUGUUUUCAGCUGUUUCAAAAUUUUUUCAGAUUAAAAAACAAAUAUAGUGGAGCUGGGUGGUGGACUCCUUCUUUAACAGGCACCUCAGAUUAGAAUUCAGAGUCAGUGGGGGGUGGUAAACUCUGAUGGGAUAACUCAGUGGUCCAGAGCAUAACUUCUAGAAGACCUGAAUUCAGUUACCUGCACCCAUGCCGAGCAGUUAACAAUUGCCUGUAAUUCUAGCUUCAUGGGAUCCUAUACCCUCUUCUAACCACAAACUGCCACAGGCAUUUUUCUGUGUGCACAGACACACAGAGAUACAAUUUUAAAAAAUUAAUAUUUCCCAAGCCUAUUAAAGUAGAGACUUUCUUUUUUUUCUCCUAUCUGAGACAAGGCUAGAGUUGUCUAUAUAACCAUAUAGCUGAGGUAGUACAGUAUUAAGAGCAGUGAUUGCUCUUGCAGAGUACUGGGUCUGGUUGCCAGCAUCUACAUGGUGGCCUAGAGCCAUCCAUAACUCCAUUUGCAACUGACUUCUUUGGGCUCUUGGUGUGCAGGGAGUAUACAUACAAACAUGCCAGCAAAACAUUCACACACAUCUACGUACACACAAUAUUUACUAAAAGAAACCAAAUGUAAGUCUGGGCAUGGUGGUACUGAAGGAAAAUAAAAUAUUGUAACUUGUGAGUUUAGGAGCCCACGGCCCCGGCCUGGGACUAAGAACAAAGCAGAACAGCCCCCAGGCAUGCCAGGGCAGGGCUGUUGUUAAGGCAUUCCUAAGAACAUCUUGACUGUAAAGAUAAAGAGGUAUGCAAGGACCAGCAGGGCUAUAUUAUCUAAGUCAACACCAUCUGGCCAGAACCUCCCCUCUGUCUAUUGCCCCUUGGCGCCGGGUAAAGUCAUACAUCAACUGGUUGCUAUGUGAACAAAGAUAAGCCCCCAGCCCACAGGAACAAAGUCCUGAUGCCCUUUCUAUUAAUGUUUGAAUAAGCCAAUAGUGUGUCACUAUGCUAAAUUCCACAGCUCUACGCCCCUUACCCCAUAAAAACCCCUAGCUUUCAAGCCUCGUGGCCGACA
rnacentral:lncRNA from 1 species